GGUUGAUCCUGCCAGUAGUCAUAUGCUUGUCUCAAAGAUUAAGCCAUGCAUGUCUAAGUAUAAGCAAUUAUACCGCGAAACUGCGAAUGGCUCAUUAUAUAAGUUAUCGUUUAUUUGAUAGCACAUUUACCUACUUGGAUAACCGUGGUAAUUCUAGAGCUAAUACAUGCUAAAAAUCCCGACUUCGGAAGGGAUGUAUUUAUUAGAUUAAAAGCCAACGCCCUUCGGGGCUUCUUGGUGAUUCAUGAUAACUUGUCGAAUCGCAUGGCCUUGUGCCGGCGAUGGUUCAUUC
rnacentral:rRNA from 1 species